rnacentral:rRNA from 1 species
UACGUAGGGUGCAAGCGUUGUCCGGAAUUAUUGGGCGUAAAGAGCUCGUAGGUGGUUUGUCGCGUCGGCUGUGAAAACUCGGGGCUCAACCCCGAGCCUGCAGUCGAUACGGGCAGACUUGAGUGCGGUAGGGGAGACUGGAAUUCCUGGUGUAGCGGUGAAAUGCGCAGAUAUCAGGAGGAACACCGGCGGCGAAGGCGGGUCUCUGGGCCGUAACUGACACUGAGGAGCGAAAGCGUGGGGAGCGAACAGG